CAACAGGGAUUGCCCUAGUAACGGCGAGUGAAGCGGCAACAGCUCAAAUUUGAAAUCUGGCCUCGGCCCGAGUUGUAAUUUGCAGAGGAUGCUUCUGGCGCGGUGCCUUCCGAGUUCCCUGGAACGGGACGCCACAGAGGGUGAGAGCCCCGUAUGGUCGGACACCAAGCCUGUGUGAAGCUCCUUCGACGAGUCGAGUAGUUUGGGAAUGCUGCUCUAAAUGGGAGGUAAAUCUCUUCUAAAGCUAAAUACCGGCCAGAGACCGAUAGCGCACAAGUAGAGUGAUCGAAAGAUGAAAAGCACCUUGAAAAGGGGGUUAAAUAGUACGUGAAAUUGUUGAAAGGGAAGCACUUGUGACCAGACUUGGGCCGGGCGGCUCAUCAGGGGUUCUCCCCUGUGCACUCCGCCCGGCACAGGCCAGCAUCGGUUCUCGCGGGGGGAUAAGACCGCCGGGAACGUAGCACCCUCCGGGGUGUGUUAUAGCCCGGCGGACGAUACCCCCGCGGGGACCGAGGUCCGCGCUCCGCAAGGAUGC
rnacentral:rRNA from 1 species